rnacentral:rRNA from 1 species
GGGGAAUUUUCCGCAAUGGGCGAAAGCCUGACGGAGCAAGACCGCGUGAGGGAGGAAGGCUCUUGGGUUGUAAACCUCUUUUCUCAGGGAGAAAAAAAAUGACGGUACCUGAGGAAUAAGCAUCGGCUAACUCCGUGCCAGCAGCCGCGGUAAUACGGAGGAUGCAAGCGUUAUCCGGGAAUUAUUGGGCGUAAAGCCUUCCGCAGGUGGCACAUCAAGUGUGCUGUCAAAGACCCGGGGCUUAACCCUGGAAAGGCAGUGGAAACUGAAGUGCUAGAGUGCAGGAGGGGUAGAGGGAAUUCCCGGUGUAGCGGUGAAAUGCGUAGAUAUCGGGAAGAACAUCGGUGGCGAAGGCGCUCUACUGGACUGCAACUGACACUCACAGGACGAAAGCUAGGGGAGCGAAUGGGAUUAGAUACCCCAGUAGUCCUAGCUGUAAACGAUGGAUACUAGGUGUGGCUUGUAUCGACCCGAGCCGUGCCGUAGCUAACGCGUUAAGUAUCCCGCCUGGGGAGUACGCGCGCAAGCGUGAAACUCAAAGGAAUUGACGGGGGCCCGCACAAGCGGUGGAGUAUGUGGUUUAAUUNGAUGCAACGCGAAGAACCUUACCAGGGCUUGACAUGUCCGGAAUCCCAGGGAAACUUGGGAGUGCCUUCGGGAACCGGAA